AACCAAUCUUGUAGCGACCCAAUAGCUCUUGAGACAAAUUCUCGGUAGUACCACAUGAGAAUCAGCAUCUUCAUUGGCCAUGUAGAGUAAGAAUGAGCCUUACUGGUCUGAAGUGGAGAUGAGAAUACCCUUCAUUUCUCCAUUUAGGAAUCAAUAGAGAAAGUAUCUCUAAGGUCACAUACUGUUCAGAGGUUGUACUCUGUAGACUGCA
rnacentral:misc_RNA from 1 species